UUUGUUUCGUACGUUUGUGAUGCGUCGUUUUACGGUAGUACGAGUUGUGGUAACAACAUGGAGACGGAUGACGACCACGGCACGGAAGAAGAGAACCUUCUUCGUGUACGCCACGUGGUACCUCCCUAGAGAGACUCCAGAGUUGUGUACCGGGAGGAGGUGACCUUUCGAUGUGAACGCUCGGGUGGUGACGUCUACUCGAGAACCGUUCUUUUGUGUUCCGGGACGUUGACCAGCCCGUAGUACACGUGCCGAUAGGCGGUACCGGCGGCGUACGGGACCCACCAUUGGUUGUAUAGGGACGGCCCACGACCGUAGGCACCGGUCGAACCACUCGAGUUGAAGAGCCGAGAAGGUAAGGAGCGUAUAUAACUGGAAGUUUUGUUGUCAGAGGUGCCACAUGACGGGCGAUCAUAGUCGAGAGAUAGUAGUGAUAGAAUAGAACUGGAAUCGAAGUUGGUAGAGUUUCCCGUUUAAGGCAAACUCAAACCAUUGGACGUCUCAGAGUACGUCGAACCAGAGAGUAGAUUGUUUGAGUGUCCUGUAUAGGGACGCAGAGAACCAUUGGAUUGUUACAAUUUAAUAGAACAGUAAGUGGUCUUGUACCAUAGUCCAGGGUAAGGAUUCCUCUAACCUUUGGAACAGUUGGAUGUUCCGGAUGUCGAUUCGUUGUUGGGGAAUUGGCCGUACUAUGGUUUUUGGGAACCUUUAGACUGGGUUGAUUUACUAAACAUGGACAUACCAUUAGUUGAAAGUCCCGGAUAUGGGGUUCUCGAUCCGUCUGACCAGGUAAACGUUUCAGAAGUCGAAGUCAGUUUACUAUAAAGUCCAGGUUAAGGUUAGAGGUAUUGGUUAGAGUGAUUCUACUUGUGUGAAAAAGAGAAACUUUUAGUUUAGUGUCCAAGUUAUGGGGGUCUUUAUCCGUUGGAGUGAUACGAGUUACUUGAAAGAGAGAUAUGUUUAGUUUAGUGUCCGGGUUAUGGAAAACUUAACCCGAUAAACGACUUGGAGGUUUUAAAACCCAACAGGUUGUUGGUUUAUAGACCGUGAUAAGGACUAUCGUAUCCUUUAUUAUGGUUCGAUCAUCAUGAUAGGGAUCUAGUUUUAGUCUAUUGGCCGAGGUAGGGAUUUCCCUAACCGUUAGACGACUUGGAGUUUAUAAAUUUGAACAUGGUCUUGGUUUAAAGCCCUAGUUAUGGAUUUUGAAAACCCUUCGACGUUUCGUAGGUUCUUGACAUGUAGUUGGUAUUGUUUAAUAGUCCAAGAGAAGGAGUUCUUAAGCCUCUGGAGUAUUUGGAACAACGUGAACCCGACCGAUUGUUGAGUGAAAGUCCUGGAAAUGGAUGUUUAUAUACAAGUCCCCCGUCCGAAGUUAUAGAUAUAGAGAAAAGAUUAUACAAGUUACCGGGGUAAGGUUCCUCAAAUUUCUGUACAUGCUCAAACCAACUUUAAUCGGAAGUCUCCUUGGUUGAGUGUCCUCUAUAUAGAGUCGUGAAACCACACAUAGGUGUUGAGUUUUCCUACUCGAAACGUAGUUUAUCUAAGAUACCCGUCCAGGGUGGUUUAGAUCUACGUACAUGGUUUGAUUGCUAUGAUGCAGAUCGUGUUUUAUACUAGUGCCCAAGGUAUGGAGGUUAGGAAAGAUUUAACAACUUGGAUCUUCUUGAUUCAGAGUUAAGAUUAGCGGAGUCGCCACUCUAAGGUGUUCUUUAGACAUCAAAACGUUUAAAUAUGUCUGACUUGAAUAGUAGAUUGGUUAAUAGACCUAGGUAUGGAUGUGUGUAUCUUUUCGAUGCGUUAGAUCGUAUGGAACUAUAUAGACCUUUGUCUGACUCGCCUAGUCAUGGACUCCUGGAUCCUCCGACGUACUUUGAUGAAAGGAACUUCUAGUUGUUGUUGUCGAAGUUACCCUCAAACGGACUACACUAACCUUUAAAUCGUUCAGACGUCUAGUACAAUCUACAUUCGUUGUUAUUGGAGUCACCGCGUAACGGCGUCGUUGAACCCUUCAACCCCUACGAUCUUAAAACCUUAAAUAGGGUAUUAGUCAAGUCGUCGUAGUAAAACAGGAGAAAACGUUCGUACCACUCGGAAAGUUGUGAGCUACACAGGAUGUUGCUGAACCUUCCUGGUUAGGGUUGUUGUGCCGAUGAGGUUUUACAAAGUCGUUCAACCAAAGAAGUGUUAUUGCCAAACACACCAUUGGAUAGACCGGACGGUUGUACAAUGAGUUGAGGUCAUCGACCAGUGGUAUUUGCUUUCUAUUAACCAAACGAAAACGGUUAACAAGAACACCACGAAAAACCUUAACAACGACGUCAACAACAGUAUUAUUGCGAAUCAACAUUGUUCUCUUUUGGUGUUCUUUCACAAUGACGACUUCCUUCCCUGGAUAAGAGACAAACCUUAAAACUACCUUCUAAUCGUAAACUACUGUAACAUUCCCGUCGUCUUCUGAAGCUGCUAUUCAUGUAGUAACCUUGUCCCCCUAUGCCGUUUCAGAUGUUCCGUGUUGAGGUUCUGCCCGUCGACCAACGACAAUUCUUCGAAGUAGUCUGGCUUCUUCUCAACCUACUACUUUCUUCUAAGGCAUCACUUUACCUUUAGAAUUGCGUCUAGGCUGUUGCUUCGUAACAGUUUUACAUACCUAAAACGAGGGUAGGUCGUAUAUUUAAAGAGUAGAUGCUGAUGUAAGUCGUCCCUUCGGAGGUACCUUAUAACCUUUUACUCCUCGAUAGUUUCGUUAAUCUAACCGUCUUCUCUUAACGGGACUGUUGACUACACCGAGUUCGUUAUAGAAUAAACGUGGUGCUUACGUCAGGUGGAUAUUAGGUAGCUCUAUAGUGUUCGUUGUUGUAGAAUGAACUAUGUAGGAAGUUCCGGAAACAGAGCCUAAAGCCGUGCUGUUCCUAAGAAUUCGGGCUAAGUAGUUUGACCUCACGUGAUCGUCCUUGCAUACCGAUGUAUCGAGGACUUGACAGUAUGUGUAGACAACGCUAUCUCUUUACACUACAAAUAUCAAAACCCCACCAACACAAUCUCGAUCACUACCCGUUCGUAGGUUCCCUAAAUAAUCUACCAUCAGAAAGAUUGCCGCUUGUUAGUUACUACCACUUUCUAUAAGACCUGGUUGCCGGUUGUUGUGGUUAUAGUUGACUUCUCUUAUCGAAUCGAGACGAGUAGUUCGACCGGAAUAGAACAAACCUUAGAAGAGGGGUUAGUUCCGGUUGGUACGCCCUCCGUAUGGUUUGUGAGUAGGUCGGUAGAAGACCAAGUUGAUGGUACGGAAAGUCACGUGAAUGUAAUGUCGUUCCCUACGUACAACUGUAUUCCAGACCUAGGAUCACUCUUUGGUCCCAGAUGGCUUCCUCUCCGGCUAAGUCUAAAGAUGAAAAAAAAAAUGAAUGCAGUGAGUAUAUAUAUGGUGGAUAUAUAUGGGGAACAUACGGUACGGUACGGUGUGUCCUACUCAACUGCUGAGUAACGUUCAAAUACAUAAACAUCUAAGAGGACUACGUCGUUUUCUAGUGGCAACACACGGGCACCAAAAAGGGCGUUCCCAAAAGGUGCAUUUUUACACACAGGUCAGGGUACAAGAACUAUAAAGAGACAAAUAAACGAACGACUAAAGAUUGUUACGUAUUUAUAUUAAACCAAACGCC
rnacentral:rRNA from 1 species